rnacentral:rRNA from 1 species
GACGAACGCUGGCGGCGUGCCUAACACAUGCAAGUCGAGCGGAGCGAUUUUUCGGAAGUUUUCGGACGGAAGGAGGAGAGCUUAGCGGCGGACGGGUGAGUAACGCGUGGGCAAUCUGCCUUUUACAGGGGGAUAACACAGGGAAACUUGUGCUAAUACCGCAUAAAACUGUUUUGCGGCAUCGCAGAGCAGCCAAAGGAGCAAUCCGGUGAGAGAGGAGCCCGCGUCUGAUAGCUAGUUGGUGAGGUAACGGCCCACCAAGGCGACGAUCAGUAGCCGAACUGAGAGGUUGAACGGCCACAUUGGGACUGAGACACGGCCCAGACUCCUACGGGAGGCAGCAGUGGGGAAUAUUGCGCAAUGGGGGGAACCCUGACGCAGCAACGCCGCGUGAAGGAAGAAGGCCUUCGGGUUGUAAACUUUUUUGAUCGGGGACGAAGGAUGACGGUACCCGAAAAACAAGUCACGGCUAACUACGUGCCAGCAGCCGCGGUAAUACGUAGGUGGCAAGCGUUGUCCGGAUUUACUGGGUGUAAAGGGCGUGUAGGCGGGUUUGCAAGUCAGAUGUGAAAUACCGGGGCUUAACUCCGGAACUGCAACUGAAACUGUAGAUCUUGAGUACUGGAGAGGAAAGUGGAAUUCCUAGUGUAGCGGUGAAAUGCAUAGAGAUUAGGAGGAACACCAGUGGCGAAGGCGGCUUUCUGGACAGUAACUGACGCUGAGGCGCGAAAGCGUGGGGAGCAAACAGGAGUAGAUACCCUGGUAGUCCACGCCGUAAACGAUCGAUAAAUGGGUGUAGGGGGUAUAAACUCCCUCUGGUCCGCAGCAAAAACAAUAAUUAUCCCACCUGGGGAGUGCGCCCGCAAGGAUGAAACUCAAAGGAAUGGACGGGGGCCCGCCCAAGCAGUGGAGUAUGUGGAUUAAUUUGACGCAACGCGAAGAACCUUACCAAGGCUUGACAUUAUUUUGAAUCAUGUGGAAACAUAAGAGUCUUCGGACAGAAUAACAAGUGGGGCAGGGUUGUUGUCAGCUCGUGUCGUGAGAUGUGGGGUUAAGUCCCGCAACGAGCGCAACCCUUGUCAUUAUUUUCCAGCAAGAGAGAGGGGCACUCUAAUGAGACUGCCGGUGAGAAAUCGGAGGAAGGGGGGGAGGACGUCAAAUCAUCAUGCCCCUUAUGUCUUGGGCUUCACACGUACUACAAUGGCUAUUACAGAAGGCAGCGAAGGAGUAAUCCGGAGCGAAUCCCCAAAGAUAGUCCCAGUUCGGAUUGUGGGCUGCAACCCGCCCACACGAAGUCGGAAUUGUUAGUAAUUGCAGGUCAGCAUACUGCAGUGAAUAAGUUCCCGGGUCUUGCAC